rnacentral:lncRNA from 1 species
UGAGUUAAUUGUUUGAAUACUCACUGAACUUUAAAGGGCGUCACGUUUCACUCACUGAACUUUACUUUGCACCCAAUUACUCACUAAACUUUGGAAGGGCGUCACGUUUCACUCACUGAACUUUACUUUGCACCCAAUUACUCACUGAACUUUACUUUGCACCCAAUUACUCACUGAACUUUGUAAACUUGCACUCCAUCACUCAUCGGGUUAAAUAGUUAAUUGUUUGAAUACUUAC